rnacentral:rRNA from 1 species
UACGUAGGUGGCAAGCGUUGUCCGGAAUUACUGGGUGUAAAGGGAGUGUAGGCGGGAUAGUAAGUCAGAUGUGAAAAUUAUGGGCUUAACCCAUAAACUGCAUUUGAAACUACUGUUCUUGAGUGAAGUAGAGGCAAGCGGAAUUCCUAGUGUAGCGGUAAAAUGCGUAGAUAUUAGGAGGAACACCAGUGGCGAAGGCGGCUUGCUGGGCUUUUACUGACGAUGAGGCUCGAAAGCGUGGGGAGCAAACAGG